rnacentral:rRNA from 1 species
UGCAAGUCGAACGAUGAAGCCCAGCUUGCUGGGUGGAUUAGUGGCGAACGGGUGAGUAACACGUGAGUAACCUGCCCUUGACUCUGGGAUAAGCGCUGGAAACGGCGUCUAAUACCGGAUACGACCUGCCCCGGCAUCGGGUGCGGGUGGAAAGUUUUUCGGUCAAGGAUGGACUCGCGGCCUAUCAGGUAGUUGGUGAGGUAAUGGCUCACCAAGCCGACGACGGGUAGCCGGCCUGAGAGGGUGACCGGCCACACUGGGACUGAGACACGGCCCAGACUCCUACGGGAGGCAGCAGUGGGGAAUAUUGCACAAUGGGCGAAAGCCUGAUGCAGCAACGCCGCGUGGGGGAUGACGGCCUUCGGGUUGUAAACCUCUUUUAGUAGGGAAGAAGGGCUUCGGCUUGACGGUACCUGCAGAAAAAGCACCGGCUAACUACGUGCCAGCAGCCGCGGUAAUACGUAGGGUGCAAGCGUUGUCCGGAAUUAUUGGGCGUAAAGAGCUCGUAGGCGGUUUGUCGCGUCUGCUGUGAAAACCCGAGGCUCAACCUCGGGCCUGCAGUGGGUACGGGCAGACUAGAGUGCGGUAGGGGAGAAUGGAAUUCCUGGUGUAGCGGUGGAAUGCGCAGAUAUCAGGAGGAACACCGAUGGCGAARGCAGUUCUCUGGGCCGUUACUGACGCUGAGGAGCGAAAGCGUGGGGAGCGAACAGGAUUAGAUANCCCUGGUAGUCCACGCCGUAAACGUUGGGAACUAGAUGUGGGGACCUUUCCACGGUCUCCGUGUCGCAGCUAACGCAUUAAGUUCCCCGCCUGGGGAGUACGGCCGCAAGGCUAAAACUCAAAGGAAUUGACGGGGGCCCGCACAAGCGGCGGAGCAUGCGGAUUAAUUCGAUGCAACGCGAAGAACCUUACCAAGGCUUGACAUAUACCGGAAACUUCCAGAAAUGGUUGCCCCGCAAGGUCGGUAUACAGGUGGUGCAUGGUUGUCGUCAGCUCGUGUCGUGAGAUGUUGGGUUAAGUCCCGCAACGAGCGCAACCCUCGUUCUAUGUUGCCAGCACGUCAUGGUGGGAACUCAUAGGAGACUGCCGGGGUCAACUCGGAGGAAGGUGGGGAUGACGUCAAAUCAUCAUGCCCCUUAUGUCUUGGGCUUCACGCAUGCUACAAUGGCCGGUACAAAGGGCUGCGAUACCGUAAGGUGGAGCGAAUCCCAAAAAGCCGGUCUCAGUUCGGAUUGAGGUCUGCAACUCGACCUCAUGAAGUCGGAGUCGCUAGUAAUCGCAGAUCAGCAACGCUGCGGUGAAUACGUUCCCGGGCCUUGUACACACCGCCCGUCAAGUCAUGAAAGUCGGUAACACCCGAAGCCAGUGGCCUAACCGCAAGGAGG